UAAAAAAAAAAUGGAAAAAGGCUUAAAAGCCCAUAAAAAGGGUUGUUUGAAACAAUAGCCUCCAAGCCUUAAAAGAGAGGCAGAACGUUAUCAAAAAGGACGGAAAGCAAAAGCUAAAAAAAAAAAACAGAAUCGUUCCUCACGAAACAGAGGCUCCAUUUAUCACACAGGCAACGAAAGAUUCUAGGGUUCUUUACAAAUCACUAAUUCUUAAAUUCAGGUAUAUAAAAUUCCCUAUUUUCAAUUAUCCUAAAGUAGUAAUACGUAAGAAUUGAAUAGCUAAUUCCCUUCUUCCUCUAUAUCAACAAUAAAUUUCAUAUUUAGGUGUAGUACUUUAAAAUUAAUUAAAAUAUAUUGGUUGUUGUAGAAUCGAUUGGUUGACUGGUAUCAAUUUGACUGGGGCUACGUAUUGGCUCGAGAAGUUUUGAGGAACCGGAUUUGCAGGCGAGCAGGCUACGAGUUAGGACUUCCUUCCCUUCCAGUGAUAUUGGUGAGCUCCGCUUUUGUUCGUGGAGUAUUCUUAGAGUCAUUUUCAUUUAGCUAUUUCUUAGUUUAUUUAGAGAACUAGCCAGAAAAUAUCAUGUCCUGAGCAGUGCGUCAGUUUGUCAGUAGAAGCUUCAUAGACAUAGUCAUUGGGUUGAGAUUCAGAUGUUAUUUUAUAAUAACUUAGCAGUAAUUCAGUAGUUACUACGAAUAAAGCUUUGGAGUUGAUUUAUUUAAA